UAAUACGUAGGCAGCGAGCGUUGUUCGGAAUUACUGGGCGUAAAGAGUGUGUAGGCGGUGCUCUAAGUUCGGUGUGAAAUCUCCUGGCUUAACUGGGAGGGUGCGCCGGAAACUGGAGUGCUCGAACGUGGGAGAGGAAAGCGGAAUUCCUGGUGUAGCGGUGAAAUGCGUAGAUAUCAGGAGGAACACCUGCGGUGUAGACGGCUUUCUGGACCAUUGUUGACGCUGAGACACGAAAGCGUGGGUAGCAAACAGGAUUAGAUACCCUGGUAGUCCACGCCCUAAACGAUGCAUACUUGGUGUCGGCCAUUCAGUUGGUCGGUGCCGGAGCUAACGCGUUAAGUAUGCCGCCUGGGGAGUACGGUCGCAAGGCU
rnacentral:rRNA from 1 species